CUGGGGCCUCGUGUCCUUCCCUCGGAGCCUCGGAAUCCCCACCGCUCCUCUCAGAAUCUGUGCUGAUAAAGGAGGUUGAAGGUGGCCUUCAUUUCAGUCCUUGGACAUGGCUUCGUGUAUUUAAUAUUUAGCCAUGAUACUCACAUAUAGUUCUUUUGACUUUUUUUUUCUGUUUUUUGAGACAGGGUCUCGCUCUGUCACCCACUUUGGGAGCCAGAUGGGGCUGAGUCUCCCUCUGGGCAUUCCUGCAUUGGUGCGUGGGUUCCGGGAGGCCAGCCUCGCACCUCCGUCUCCAUCUAACAUCUUGGGCGAGCGCGUGGUGGAGGGAGGGCAGGUGGAGGAGUGAACCACACACAAAGGAACGUCAGGGGCCUCUGUAGCCCUGAUGGGGUUCAGCCUCAGGUUUCCCUUGCACCCCAUGGGGAAGGGGCUGAGCCUAUGCCCUGACAUGCUGCCCGGGGGCUGGGAGUGGUAAGGGCUCCGGUGGCUUUGCGUAAUUUUUCUGCCUAGGGGGAGUGUGUCUCAGCAAGUGGACCUGGAGGCCUUGCCUGGGGUCCGAGUGCCACUGGGCGGGGGUGAGUGGACGUAUUUGGAGCCACAGGCCUGGAUUCCCAUCCGUCUCUGAAGGAGGCCUCCUGCCGGCCCUCCCAGGCACGCGUGUAACAUCCGUCUGUGAAGCAGGCCUCCUGCCGGCCCUCCCAGGCACGUGUGUAAGGGGAGGGCCCUUUCUUCACUCACAGGGCCUCUGGCACCACGCAUGGGGGGUCCUCCACACCGAGCAGUCCUCCUGCUCUCCAGACACCAGCUGGGCAUCCUGUAACUCAGUUCAAUUCUCACACCACCUUACUGGAACUAGCACAGACCCCGCAGGUUAAGGGCUCAGUCCCAUAAGAGUGCUCCCACUUUAGACGCCCAUUUCAAGCAGUGGCUCCCAGGACAUCCACACUUCUGUCUGACUUGAACAGUCGGGGUUCCCACACCUCUCCUGGGUUUGAUAGUUUGCUGAAGCAGCUCACAGAGCUCAGGGACAUGCUUUGCUUACAGUCGAGGGUUUGUGAUAGGGGACGGGUGCAGAUGAAUGGGCAGAUGAACAGGUACAGGGGUGAGGUCUGGAGGGAUCCCAAGAGCAGGUUCCUCCUUCUCCAUGCAGUUGGGGUGGCUGCCCUCCCAGCGCUCCAGCCGGAAGCUCUCAGAGCCUAGUUUCGGGUUGUUACGGAGAUUUCAUCACAUGGGUGUGGCUGAUUUCAUCCUUGGCCGUUGGCAGUUCACUCCAUCUCCAGCUUUCACCACUCCCUGGAAGUCAGGGUGGGGCUGAGCACUCUGGUCCUUCUGUCUCACAGUCGGUCCCCCUGCAGCCAGCCCCGUCCUGGGAGCUCCCGGUGACCCUUUCUCUCCUGGCUCAGUGCGCUUGCCAGACACCUGUCCACAGUUGCCACUAACAAGGGCCCCACUCACAGCUCAGCACUGCGCCAGAUCGGCCGUGGAGGGGCCGUCGUCAUUACUCAUGCUGUUCCAAGGUCGGGACUCAGGAUUUAAGGCGACUAUCCUGGAUCGCACAGCUGGACCAGAUGCGGAUGCGCUUUACACAGCUGCCAGCUUGAGGAUGGAAGAAAAGCGCAUUUCAUCAUCUGUUAUCCUGUGUUUCUGUGACCAUACUGAGUCCCGUGUGUCUUCUCAUGCUGCUGGCUGUGUGGAUCACCUUGUCUAGCUUGUUCUCACUUAAACUACUGGAUGGGCUCUCUUUUCCCUUUUCACCAUGUUUCUUCGCGACAGAGGCCGUCUUCUGCCCAGUUGCCUCCCACAUUUCCCCAGUCUACGGCUUGGCUUUUGACAUAUGCUUCUUCUCCCCAGGUCAUUAAAGACAGCUUUAAAUAGAUCCACGUGUCCCUGACAGCAUUUGAGUUUCCUUCUUGAAGAAGUGUAUAUAAACAUUCUCUUAAGUUUUGGGGUAAUAUGGUGAGAUUAUUUAUUACUUUCAGAUUUUAGUCUAUCUCUAGUUUGCUUUUUAAUAAAAUACUAGUUUUGUUCUUUUUUUCUCCCACGUGGAGAGUCAAAUAUGGAACC
rnacentral:lncRNA from 1 species